rnacentral:miRNA from 7 species
UGAUAGGAUGAGAGGAAAUGGUUUCAAACUAAAAGAGAGGAGAUUUAGAU